UACGUAGGGACCAAGCGUUGUUCGGAUUUACUGGGCGUAAAGGGCGCGUAGGCGGCUUGUCAAGUCACUUGUGAAAUCUCUGGGCUUAACCCAGAACGGCCAAGUGAAACUGACAUGUUAGAGUGCAGAAGGGGCAAUCGGAAUUCUUGGUGUAGCGGUGAAAUGCGUAGAUAUCAAGAGGAACACCUGAGGUGAAGACGGGUUGCUGGGCUGACACUGACGCUGAGGCGCGAAAGCCAGGGGAGCAAACGGG
rnacentral:rRNA from 1 species